CUCCUUUUUUAUUUAUUCAGCCGGUUGUUUUGUAGGACAAGUUGAUCUCCAAAAUGUUAUUUUUUAAUCCUGAUUUGGCUGAAGUUGUUGAUUUCAAAAACAGUAUGGCUGAUCAAGGUAUCAAUGGAACACAACUAUUGUUUAUUGCUAAUGAGGGCAAGGGUGUUUUAUUGGAAGAUAAUUUUAUAUGGCUUAUUAGAAUAUGCACUAUUGAGGAGCUUCAUGAUAACAAUGAGGUUUAUUAAGUUUUCGAUGUCUUUAGUCAAUUUUGACUUAGUUAUCUUUUAAUAAAAAAAGUUAUGCAAAGUUAUGUUUUCCAUUUGUAUCUCAAGGUUUAUUUUUAUGUUAUAAUAGGAAGGGUCUUUUGUGAUUUUUGGUAUUAUGAGAUCUAUUGUGGAAGAAGGACUUUAGUGGUAUUCAUCUUGUGUUUGUGGAAAAUCAAUUCAGCCUCAAGGUGGUGUAUAUUAUUGUGAUUUUUGUCAGCAUUAUGUUACCAAUGUGACUCUUAGAUUUGUUGUGUUUAUUUAUUUAUUUUUGCAUGUGAUAUUGACUUCUGUUUUCUUUUCUUUCUUUUUCCUUCUAUUGUUUCAUUCUCCUUGUUCCAUUUUUUCUAAUUAUAGUUGUUUUCUUGUGUUUUUUUUUUUUGGUAAAUUUCUUAUUAGGUAAUUGUUCUAUGAUCAGAUAUCGGAUCAAAAUAGCUGUUGAGAAUGACGGACAUGGUGUAUUUGUAUUGUUCGAUCGUGAGACUUCUUAUUUAUUGAAAAAAAUAAUGUGCUAAUCUGUUUGGGGAGGUUUAAAAGGAUGCAAGUGUAUGUGAUUUAUGCUUUUUUUUUUCUUGUUGAAUUUAGUAAUAGAUAAGGUCUGUUUGUGUCAUGUAUAAUUAUAUCUUUACUGUGUUUGAGUGUGUCAUUGGCCCUUGAUUUUUCUAAGAACCAUGUGCUCAAAUUAUUUCAUAGGUUGUUUGUGGAGAUAGUUAUCCUAUGAUGUUCUAACAAUUGCUGGGAAAAAAAUUGCUUCUUAAGAUAGAUAUCAAGAGUGUUGGUGCUAAUAAAUAUUUCGGAACUUUCCCGGUGAGAAGAGUUUCCGAUGAUGCUGCUAUUAUUGCCAUGUUUGAGUUGUAUAAUUAUGAUGCUGAUGAUGAACGUACUCCAGUCAAGAUCCCUUCAAGUGACCGUGAAUAUAUUGUUGGCAAGAAGGAUCUGUGUGAGGUGCUGAGCGAGGGUAUUUCUUCUGAUGGGAUUUGUCCCAAUGUGAAGACAAACUGCAGACCUUUUAUUGAUUUUUUUGGUGAAAAGGAUGCUGAAGUUUCUGGAUUGGAUGAUAUAAGCAGUGAAGUCGAUAUUAUGAAAGAGAAAGAAAAAGCUGAAACAAGUUUUUUAGGCACUAUUUUUCUACCAUGAGUGAUGUUUUAUGUAGAAGUGAUCACAAAAGAUAGACAUUGUAUUAUUUUUGUCUUCUAUUAAUAAUUUCUUGUUAUAUAUGUUCUAAAUAUACUGAAUAGACUUGAUUUA